UAGCCCAGGGAAACCUGGAUUAAUACCGGAUGAGACGGGACCCGCGAAGGCGGGACCCGGGAAAGGCGCUGCGGCGCCGCCGGGGGAUGAGUCUGCGUCCCAUUAGGCUAGACGGCGGGGUAACGGCCCGACCGUGGCGACGAUGGGUAGCCGGCCUGAGAGGGUGGACGGCCACAUUGGAACUGAGACACGGUCCAGACUCCUACGGGAGGCAGCAGCUAAGAAUCUUCCGCAAUGGGCGAAAGCCUGACGGAGCGACGCCGCCGUGAACGAAGAAGGCCGUGAGGUUGUAAAGUUCUUUUCGGGAGGGGGAACAACCGUGGCAGGGAAUGGCCGCGGGAUGACGUGAAUCCCGGAAUAAGCCCCGGCUAACUACGUGCCAGCAGCUGC
rnacentral:rRNA from 1 species